ensembl:lncRNA
CAGCCACCAGAGCAGGAGAGGGGUCCUGUGCUCUGUUCUCCUGCCAGUGGCUCCUCUGGACUCCUGUACUCCCCUGUAGGUCAGGAGGGCAAACUUCAGCUUUUGGGGCUGCAGAAGCUGGGGAUUUUGACUGAUUCUCCCCAUGGCCCAUCAGAAAGCCAAGACACACAGGUUAUGGUACAGCCAAUACUAGACCCCAGGACCUGACUUCUCACCCAGGGAACCUGGCAAGAAACAGUGGUGCUACCAGAUGUGUUUCUCAGACAAGGCCAAGUUCUGAAAGUAGCAGGGACUCAGCAAGUAUGUUUUAAAAGGGUAAACAAUCCUCUGAGUCCUGCAGGAGAGGUGGGAAGUGUCUCUAGGGGGCUAUGACCACCACCUCAAUGAAGGUCUAGGGCUGGGGUGCAAAAUCCUUGUGUGGCCCCUCAAUUUCCCUGUCAUCAUAGGGUUGGGUGCUUGAUGGCCCCAGAUGGUCAGGGAGGGACAGGAAACUGGCACAACAGGACAGUGCCACCUAGCUAUGGCUGAAGCCAGAGCCUCAAUGGUAGCCCAGAGCCAGCUUGAUCAAGGAACAUCAAUCCUGAGUCCCUGAGCACUGGCUCAUUCCUAGCAAACUCACUGUCUUUCCUGCCAUACAGGGGGCAACACAAUCUCAGCUUCAUUGGUCUCCAGCACAGCUGCCUUGGCUCUUGUAAGUGGCACCCGGGGUCAAGCUGGUAAGGCCUCAGAAAAGCUCCAGGAGGGGAGCCUACCAGUCACCAAUCUUCUUUCAGAUGCAAGCUGUCCAAGCAGGUGGUGGCUGGCCUAUUAUGUGCUGACUCCAUCAUCCAGAAUGCAGAGUAGAUCUCUGAGUGUGGGAUCAGUGUGUGUCCUGAGGACUGCUGGAGCUGCAGGCAGUCAGGACCCUGCCCACAUCCUCACUCUAAACCUGGCCUGUCCUGAAGGCAGCAAGAGUCUGAAGGCAGCGGCAGCAUCCUGCAUCCUUCAGAGUCUGGCAUAGGCCUGGUGCCCACACAGAGCCCCUGGCAGAGGCUGAACAGUAUUUGAAGAAUCUCCAACAGUCAGAGCUGUGCAGGGACCAAGGGGGCUGUGCUGGGGGAGGGUGAGCCCCUCCCUGCUAAUGCUCAAUCCCAGGUGGCUAAACUGGAGCUGCUGUGUUGGGAGUGACCCUGGCCGGCCUUGACACCUUCUAAGGGGCCUUAACUUGAUGAUUCUAUGCAAUGUAAAUUGUUUCCACAGCAUUUCCACCCUGUUCAAUUUUAAUCUGCCUCCCAAGCUGAGAUCUUCAAGAAGCAAACUCUGAGGUGGAGAUAAGGCUGCAGGACAUUUGUUAGUGACAAUCACUGGACAUCAGUUGGUCACAAGUGGGUAGAGGGAGAAGCUGAGCUGCACUGCAGUCUACGUCACAACCCCAGCUGACCUCAGAGAGCUUGGGAGAUGAAAUGAUCUUCAGUUGUCCCCAGUCAGGGGUGAAUCUUUAUACUCUGUUGAUCUGUCAGUGGGUGCAGGCUGGCCUAGGAAGGAGGUGUGACCCAGCACAGUCCCGGAAGGGCUGCUGGACUCCCCCAAACUGGAGACUGUUCUGCAUUCCUGGAGAGGGUCUAGGCUGGGGUACAUCGAAGCUUUAACCACUCCCAGUGGUGACAUUUUAGAUGGCAGGGAACAAAAGCUGUUUUGGACCUGCCACUUGGCACGUCCCUUUCAGCUUUAUGGGGAGGCCCCAGUGGCAAGA